rnacentral:rRNA from 1 species
GACGAACGCUGGCGGCGUGCCUAAUACAUGCAAGUCGAACGCAGUGGGAACGGGGGAGUAACACGUGGCUAACCUCCCGUCAGAUGGGAUAACACUUGGCAACAGGUGCUAAACCCAUACUGAAGGAUGGACCAGCGGUGCAUUAGCCAGUUGGUGAGGUAACGGCUCACCAAGGCCACGAUGCAUAGCUGACGUGGUAGGGUGAUCGGCGACACUGGGACUGAGACACGGCCCAGACUCCUACGGGAGGCAGCAGUAGGGAAUCUUCGGCAAUGGACGAAAGUCUGACAGAGCAACGCCGCGUGAGUGAAGAAGGUUUACGGUUCGUAAAACUCUGUGGUUAGAGAAGCGGUAUCUAACCAGAAAGCCACGGCUAACUACGUGCCAGCAGCCGCGGUAAUUC